UCCGGCUUGUCACCGGCAGUCUCGUCAGAGUUCCCAACUUAAUGAUGGCAACAGACGAUAAGGGUUGCGCUCGUUGCGGGACUUAACCCAACAUCUCACGACACGAGCUGACGACAGCCAUGCAGCACCUGUCACUGCGUCCCCGAAGGGAACUAUCCGUCUCUGGAUAUAGCACAGGAUGUCAAGCGUAGGUAAGGUUCUUCGCGUUGCUUCGAAUUAAACAACAUGCUCCACCGCUUGUGCGGGUCCCCGUCAAUUCCUUUGAGUUUUAAUCUUGCGACCGUACUCCCCAGGCGGUUUGCUUAAUGGUUUCCCUCCGCCACCGAAAGCCUAAGACUCCCGACAGCUAGCAAACAUAGUUUACGGCGUGGACUAC
rnacentral:misc_RNA from 1 species